ensembl:lncRNA
AAAUUCUGGUUUAUUUUUACAAACAGCCCAUGCAAUUCUGAUAUUAAAUCUCAAAUGAAUAAAAGUAUCAGACGACCUGAUAUACACCCACACCUGCACUGACAUACCACGUAGAAAAGAGACUAAUAAAUCCAAGACUGAGUUUUAAUAGAAGACCCUAUGUUUGACAAGUUUGUCCCAACCCCUUUUCAACAGGGCACAUGGCGCCAACACGCCAGACUGGUUAUAAGAAUAGCAGAGGGGUUAGCUGGUUUCCUGGCCCAAAAAAGUGACAAAGUACUGUUAGAAUGAGCGGAUCGCCUUAUUAGAACAAACACACAGUCUUAAGAAGCAGUAUGUGGUUAUCUCUGUGGUGUGGUCCUUAUAUAGUUAGUUAAAUUCAACAUCCUCACAAAUGCUGUUGGGUUAGAUCCGCAGUUUUUUAUGGUAAACACUAGUUAGAUCCCCAGAUGGGAUCUAUGUAUAGUAACAAUUUCUGUCUCCCCUCAGUUGAAUAGGGUAAGAAAACGGUGAGAGGGACUUUGUUAGCUGAAAAGAGUAAAAUGCAGACUUACAAUUCUAUGAUAAAAUUAAGCAUUUGUGAGGAAUCUAUUUCGGUGAUCCAUCAUUAUUGGUUGUUUGUAUUAGAAGUAUAAAGCAGGUCAAGGAGCAAGCUAGCAUUAAUCAUUUAGCAUUAAUCCCACUACUGUCAUAUCGCUUUCACCAGUGCUGAGAGUCUAUAAAAAAUAACAAAAAUAAAACCUCUCCACCAAUUCAUUUCUUUUUUUUAUGACCCAGCCUUGUUCAGUAGAGCCUCUGUUUUGAACUCUGUUUUCUUGUUUUUAGACAGUGUAUUUUAUUUACACAUUUAGAUUUCAAUGUAGGCCCUAACAAUAAACACUAAGACUAGUAUCAGGAAGAGAGAGGAACCGUUUAAUUUUUCAUUAUGAAGUACAUUUUGUUUCUGUCUUAGUACACUGUUGGAGGAAAUGUUGCCUUAGAGGUUGCUAAUAUGAAUAGAUUGUUCUUAUUAUUAUUAUUAUUAAGGGAAGACAAAUACAUGAGUCUUAAUUAGAAUCAGUGUUAGCCUGUUUAGCAUUUUUAUUCCUAGUUCUUAAUUCCUAGUUGUUACAAACUGGGCCAUGUUAUUCUCUCUUUAAAAAAAAAAAGGGAGGAAUACAUGCAAUUAAGAAAUUACAGAUACAAGAAUGGAGUUAGUUAAAUACACACCUCCCUAGUUAAGAUUCCAACUUUGUGUUGUGCGAGAUUCCAUCUUUGUUUCCCACAAAGUAGGAGUCCUGAUUCCUGAAUCACUGAUAGACCUGAUACACCUUGUCCAAUGGCACCUGUGACCCAGAUCAUUUUAGGGCAAAACCAAGCCCAGAUCUAUGAGGCAGCCAGGACACUGACGGUUCCUGCUUCACCAAAACCAAGGAGAGGUGGGGGACAGACUCAUGUACAACAGACAGUCCAAGGCUGGACCAUUACUGGCAACCACCACAGCCAGAGGAGCUGAGCUCUAUGAAGGAGAGGUAACCAUCUUGACUGACUCAUAAGAAGAGGGACACUUGACUUUGGGGUCACAGGGAGGUACAGUACAGACAGCAGUGGACACGCAUUAAACUUGGGACCCCAGAAUGGAUGACAACAAAAUCACAAGGCAUGAAACAGCAGUGUCAGUCUUUAAACCCCUGUAGUUUUUCACAUAUAGCAACUAGGAAGGUUGGAGGAAUGGAGAGGACCACGCUACACAAUGCGUCAACAUCCAUGACUACACCAGUCAGGAGCAAUUCACCAGGACAUGGGGAGAUCAGGGAGCAGAGAGGAGUUGUAUUUUCAUUUACUUCCUUUUUUUCUUGUUUUAUUAUUCAAUUUUAUUUUUGGGUCUAAGCAAAUUUACCAGCAAAGCCCUAUUGUCAAUUUUUGUUCAUUGUUAUUAUACUUCAAGGACAUUGUGGGGUUUAUUAUUUAUUUCAGCUAAUUUGAGAUGUCUGUGAAAUAGCACUUUGUAAAGCACUACCCCUAUAUCAUCAGAAGAUCAGUCUUUACUUAUCUCUUUAUUUAGAACCUAGUGGCCAGUGAACAAUAUCUUUUAAAACUGAUUUAAACAACUUAAAUAGACAGACCACCAAAUUCACUACUUUCAAUUUUUUCCAUUUUCUUAUUUCAAAUCAUAAUUGAUAGUUGUUUUUAAGUUGGUGUGACUUGUGAUCUUUUCUUUUUUGGUUUCUGACAUUUAAGUAAUGGUCCCACCAUCUCUUUAAUAGUUCAGUGUCAUUUUUAGUAUUGUUGUAGCCUGUUUGCUAGGGCCCAGAAGAAUAAUCAAACUGAUGCAGUGUUUUGUCUUGUCCUUUCUCCUAUAAGGACGGUGUGGCAGACCUCUAGCCCAAUGCAUGGAGACGAAUUGAGAACAAUCAUGUGAAGUGAAACCUCCUGCAACUUUUCCCUUUGGCACCUUUUGAGUUCCAGAAACAGAUUUCUGGCAUAACGGACAUUUGUUCUGGAAAGGCGGAAGGCCUGACCACCUUGGUAUAUCUGGAAAAUAUCUCCAGUCCUACGGUGAGACAGAACAACUCUACUUGAAAUUGAACCUUGAGCCUUCUGAGACUGUGUGUACAACAUCAAGACUGCGGCAAAGAGGCCUUUUGGGUCAAUAUCAAUAGACGAGGACAAGAAGACUGUGCCAGGAAUAAUGUUAAAAUUGGGAUGGGUAAAGAUACAUUGAAUGGCUGAAACGAAAAUUCUACCAGAAGAAAAUGGAAAGACUCCGUGGGAAAGCCCAAACUAUUCCUGCCAACCAGGAAAAGAGCGGUAAAGAUAACUGAUCUUCCUUCUGCGAAGGAAGCAACAACUGAUUGACAAUAGGCCUUAGCAGUUGGCCCCAAUGAACAACAUGACAGCUCAAUAUCUUAGGAAAGGACACAUGGAUCCAGGCUAACCUCUUCUGACCAGACCACGACCCUCCAGCACAGGAGUACAUACAUCAUGAGUCCAGCCUGGACUCAAAGAAGGACAAAACUGGCAGACAAUAAGGUGACCUCCUCCUCUGCUGCCUCUAUGAUAGCUGCAACCCUGGUCAGCCUACUGGGGAUUUCUGUGGAGUCUAGAAUCCACAGGGACUGCCAAGGGCGGGCCUGGAAAUUGACUCUGACAGCUGAACCGAACAAUCAAACUGACCAGAUGUCACCACACGUAAACGCACUUACACUGCACCCUUACACUGCACCUCAAUACAUCCACCACUCACCCACACACUCCGAGAACACAUUUUGGGGAAAGCAAUGUCCAAAGGGAGGAAGAAUAGACCUAGUAGGGACAGUUUACACUGUCUCUGGCUUCCACAGUCUCCCCAAAACAGGUCUUUGUCAAAACACCCUAUACUCAUAUAUUCUCCACACCAAUUAUUAGGGAAAAUGGAGGCUCUCUCACCUAUACAUUACAAUUACACGACAGGCUAAAUAUCCCUAACAGGUUUUACACUGUAUGCAUGUCUUUCAUCCUUUCAACUCCAAAAAGGGAGCUAAUCGGGAGCAGGUGCUCUCAUUGGUCGAGGUAACCAGGUGCGAUGGUCCUCCAUCUGUAGGGACUGGGUGGUCCAUAGGUGCAAAGGGAGGACCAACUCUUGUCCCAUCCUUGCCCCAAUUCACAACCCAAUUUAGACCAGAGGUAAUAAGCAGACAAACUAUCUCUGCUCCAUUAGUGAACCAUACUGUUUGCAGGGGGGACAGAAUAGCUCAUAUAGAAUGUCUGUUGACACCUGGGUCCCCUAAGACAACAGUAAGUCUUCUCUCUGCCUCACCAAAAUCUUCUGCCCGAAUAUGUAAAACAGCCUCAUGGGACCAGAGGAAAGCAGCCCUAGUAGGUAACAACUGCCCAGGAAAAGUAACGAUAACCCAUGUGCUUGUGAGAUAGGAAGUUAGAAUUUUAUUCUCUAUAAUUAACCCAUCCAUAUUAAUCAAUGGAACUGUGUUCUACUUCACUCUUUCUACUCCUGAAGGUGCUCGAAACGGGAGUGUCAGGUGAUACGCCCAGGCCAUCAGGUGGUAGUCUAUUCCAAUCUGUAACUGUGCUUUAUUGUAGCCAGCGGUACACACCUGACCUAUCCUGGCUGACCCAUAAGCAGACCUGGGGCACUCGAACAAUGGGUAUGCUACUGCCCAUGUACGGUGAGAUGUAGUCCUGGGAUCAAGUGCGUGCUUUAGCUUUAGAAAUAGAACAUCUUGCUAAUGUGACAGCUAGGACCAGUAAUUUGAUCUCUGAGGAGCUGGGAGCUAAACGCUUGCUUGCUCUCCAGAGCAGGGUAGCGUUAGACUAUCUAUUGGCCGCCCAGGGAGGAACCUGUGCUCUGAUAGGACAGGAAUGCUGUACAUUUGUACUUAAUUACAACUCCACUGUUUCUGACCUAGUUAAUGAAAUGAUUCAAGUUUCCCACCAGGCCCACAAUUAUAACAUCAAAGGACCAUUUUCCUGGAUGGCUGAAUUGUGGGUGCAGUAUUGCUGGGUAGUCAUUAUAGUCAUUGUGGCCAUAGGCCUGUUGGUACUCCUCCUUAUGUGCCAGUUGUCGAGUGGCCCUGAAUGUAUUGUGUUACAAUAAUAAUCAAUUUAGCAUGUAGCUAAAACACAUGCAUUAGUUUAAAACAUCCCAAUGUUUAGAAUUUAUCUACUAAUACUGAUUUACUGAUGCUCACAUAUACUGACUGCCGCACAAGUCCACGCAUAGGCAAAUAUUCACAUAGUUAACCUGGAGUUUUCACGAUGGUAUACAUCAAACCCAGAAGGGGCCUUGGCCCUGUGUGGUGAACCACAGGAUGACUAUGGUGAUGGGCCCUCCCAUUGUAGGAUCCUCCUGUUUCAGUUCUUUGUAUUUAUAUAAUUUGUAUAACCAUAAUAACUGUCUUGAUUGUCAGUGUUUGAUUCAGAUGUAACUUAUUUAAAGUAACUGUGGCCUCCUGGUCCUUAAGAUCCAGGAUGUUUUCUGAUAUAUAAUUGUUCUGAUAAAUGUAAUAAUUUUUUAUAAUUCUCUAUAUGCAUUCUUUUAAUAAAUUAAUUUUAUUGAUAUUGUCCCUGUUGGGACAAAAGGGAGGAAUUGUAAAAGAUGAAUUUAUCACCCUAUUCUUAUUUAUCAAUUUUUCUGCAAAUGAACUGUAAUAAAUGGACUGUUUUAGACUAGGCCUGAAAUUGCUUUAGACUGUUUAUGGUUGCCACAUAUAGAAGAAGAUCUAGGUCAGCAUGCCCUGUUCUUACAAGUGAUUAUGGCCACAACCAAGGCAACCAGGCCUCAAACAUAUCUUAUCUACGUCCCUGUUCAGUUGGCUCCAAGGUAAAGUUGCCUGUGUCUCCUCUAUAUUCCUCCGUUUGUGUAGGAUAGGGACUGGGGGUAGCUCAGAUCAGGAGGUCUGUUAACGCUGACCUAGAAUUAUGGUUGCCAUGGCAGUAUAGGGUUUUAUAUUGUUUUCCUAUUAGUAUGAUGACUUGUUUUGUAUGUAUCUCAUAGCUUUAGUGAUAAUAUGCUGGGGGGCUGACAAGGAGGAGUAUAAAGAGCUAGAAGCAAUAAUGUAUAAUCAGAACAAUUGUUAUGACACUACUCUGUUGGUCUCUGUACUUAAACUCUGUUUUGUGAAAGCGAUUGUUCCCGUGGAUCCACGUAAUUAAACUUGAAAUAAUCAACUGUUAUACCAG